UGUAAUGUCAGCCACACUUCUCAAUGCUAAGUACUUGGUCCUCAGCUCAAUCCUUAUUCUCUAAAAGAGGAUCAAGAGUACCUGGAUUCUAAUGUAGAGAAUACUCUAUGUGAGCAGAUAUAAGCAAUGAAUUUGUCUGAUACUCAUUCUUUUUUUUUCCAAGAAAUACUUUUUAAGGCUUAAAGAUGUAUCAUUUAACAGGAAAGACAAAAUUUUCUGCUCUUGUGCAGUUUAUACUCUGUUGAGUAGAACUUAUAUUCAUCAUGUUAGGGACAAAGAGAAAAACUAGCACUAAUUAUCUGCUUGAGAUAACUGCUAUGCUCCAGUAGUUUAAGAUGAAAUCCGUGGUCCAGUCAUCUGGAAUUUAGAAGAUCCAUUACCAUCACACUUCACAGAAAAGCAAUCAGCCACUAGUUAGUAAUUUUUGUUCUUCACAUUGGUUAGUUGAACAAACACCUCUGUCUUUUUCAAUGCUAAUCUAUGGUGAACACACCUACAGUAAUGUCAGCAAACAAAUUAAAAUGUAGUAGGACAAAUAAUCACUUUUAAUGUUUUUCAUGUUCUGUUAGUAUAAAAUCUCUAACUACUUUUAUUAUACAUGAUAAUAUAUGAUGUUUAAUAUUUCUUCUAUAUUUAUCAUGUUUUAUUUGCACAAGAGCUUUAAAAUGUACUUUUCUUUCAGUGUGUGUUCCCUGGUACAAAGGCACUUCAAAACGCAAUUUUAUUUUUAAUGUAAAAGUAAUGCCACCCAUUUUGUAAGCACAUAUAGCAUAAUACUUCCAAUGAACAAAACAACAAAAAACGUGAUCUAUGAGUAAAGACCACACAUAUAUUUACAGAAGGAAACCAUUACUCUAGAUUUCAAAGAGUUAUCUUUUGACUGGCUUUACAAGAUGACAUUAUUUGGAGAUGACUAUAAGAUGGGAAAAAGAGGCAGAAAUAUCAAAGUUCCAUAGUUGAAAAAAAAUUACAUGCACAAAGACAAAUACACAGAUGUAAAAACAUACACAGACACAGACAUAUAUAUGUGUGUGACAUUAUCAGGAAGCAAUACUAACACUUUCAUGUUUCUGCAGUGUAUUUGUUUCCUGUUUCUACCUAACAAAUUAUCACAAAUUUAGUGGCUUAAACAUUAUACAAUUAUGUUAAAGUUUUGCAAGUCAGAAGUCUGAUGGAUGUCACUAUGCUACAAUCAAAAAGUGUCAGCAGGACUGAGUUCUUCCUGGACACUAUAGUGGAGGCCCUAUUUCUGUGUUUUUUUUUUUGCAGUUUCUAGAGUACCCCACAUUCCUUGCCAUGUGACCCCAUUUCUAUAACUUCAAAGUCAGCAGGGUUGCGAUGGGUCUUUUUCUCAGUCUUGCAUUUAUCUGGUUCUCUGUCUUCUGCCUCCCAUUUCUACUUAUAAGAAUUACUGUGAUUAUGUCUGGGUCACCUGGAUAAUCCAGAAUAGUCUCCCCAUUAAGGAGGCUAUCAUAUAGUAUUUUUUAAUUAGCAACCUUAAUUCCAUCUCCAAGUUUACUAAGUAACCUAGCAUAUUCACAUUUUCAAGCAUUAAAAUGUUGACAUUUGGGGGGCCACUAUUCUGCUUACAUAUUCAUGGUUAGGGCUUUCUGUGCAAAAAAAAAAAAAAAAAUGAUGGGUUAUAAAGAUUCUGAAUGUUUUUCCACAGGCCCAUUUGCUUUUUACAUCCUACUGGUGUUUAACCUGGAGUCUUUUGCUAUUUUACGAAGAGUAUUGAAACAUGUCUCUCUGGAGUCAAAUAUUUCAUUUCAGACACCUCCCUUUAUGAUGUCAAUCUAAGGGCUGAGCUAAGGGAAAUAAAUGUGAUUAUUGUUAUGAGGGCAUACAGUGAGAUGGCAGCAGCCUGUAAGCCAGAAACAGAAGCAUCACCAGAAACUGACCAUGCUGGUACCCUAAUCUCAGACUUCCAGAUUUCUGAAGAACUUCAAAGAAACAAAAGUCUAUUGUUUAAGCCACCUAGUCUGUCACAUUUUGUUAUGGCAAUGUGAGCUAACUAAUACACUACCUUUAAAAUAUAAACUAAUAAGCACGGUCUUAAGUUAAUAUGACUCAUGCUAGGGGACCUACAGACAUAGCAUACUCUAACAGCAGAGCAGAGAAAAGCUUAGCCGAUUUUGGGAAUAAAAAGAAAACAUGUGUUUUGUAGGAUAUUAUGCCUAAGCUAUAUCUUAAAUGGUAAGAAUUCACCAGGAGCAAAAUGUUAGGAAUUUCUUGUCAGAAGAAAUAAUGUAAGCAAAAGCAUCACUAUUCACAGCAAACCCAAACUGGCUGAUAUCUGUGAUAGGCAAAAUUCUAAGAUGGCCUCUAAUGUGGUUUGGCUGGGUCCCCACUCAAAUCUCAUCUUGAAUUGUACCUCCCAUAAUUCCAACAUGUUGUGGGAGGAACCCGGUGGGAGAUAAUUAAGUCAUGGAGGUUGAUUCCCCCAUAGUGUUCUCACAGUAGUGGGUUAAGUCUCACAAAAUCUGAUGAUUGUAUAAGGGAAAACCCCUUUUGCUUUCCUCUCAUUCUGUCUUGUCUGCUGCCAUGUAAGACAUGCCUUUAGGCUUCCACUAUGAUUGUGAGGACUACCCAGCCACGUGG
rnacentral:lncRNA from 1 species